GCCAGACUCCUACGGGAGGCAGCAGUGGGGAAUAUUGCACAAUGGGGGGAACCCUGAUGCAGCGAUGCCGCGUGGAGGAAGAAGGUUUUCGGAUUGUAAACUCCUUUUAUCAGGGACGAUAAUGACGGUACCUGAAGAAAAAGCUCCGGCUAACUACGUGCCAGCAGCCGCGGUAAUACGUAGGGAGCGAGCGUUGUCCGGAAUUACUGGGUGUAAAGGGCGUGCAGCCGGAGAGACAAGUCAGAUGUGAAAUCCACGGGCUCAACCCGUGAACUGCAUUUGAAACUGUUUCCCUUGAGUGUCGGAGAGGUAAUCGGAAUUCCUUGUGUAGCGGUGAAAUGCGUAGAUAUAAGGAAGAACACCAGUGGCGAAGGCGGAUUACUGGACGAUAACUGACGGUGAGGCGCGAAAGCGUGGGGAGCAAACAGGAUUAGAUACCCGCGUA
rnacentral:rRNA from 1 species